UUAUUCAUGGAUAGUGAGGUUUAUUCAUGUAUAGUGAGGUUUAUUCAUGUAUAGUGAGGUUUAUUCAUGUAUAGUGAGGUUUAUUCAUGUAUAGUGAGGUUUAUUUCAUGGAUAGUGAGGUUUAUUUCAUGGAUAGUGAGGUUCAUUCAU